UCCGAAUGGGGCAACCCGGCUGGUUGAAGACCAGUCACCGAAAGGAGCAAACCCGGAGAACUGAAACAUCUAAGUACCCGGAGGAAGAGAAAAUAAUUAAUGAUUCCGAUAGUAGCGGCGAGCGAAAUCGGAAGAGCCCAAACCAAUCUUGUUUCGGCAAGGUUGGGGUUGUAGGACCACGAUGUGAGAUGUUCCAUGAAUUAGAAUCAACUGGAAAGUUGAACCAUAGAGGGUGAUAGUCCCGUAUAGGUAAGUGCGAAUUAUUUCUAGUGGUAUCCUGAGUAGGGCGGGACAUGUGAAAUCCUGUCUGAAUCUGUCAGAACCAUCUGAUAAGGCU
rnacentral:rRNA from 1 species